AACGAUUCCUCUUCAACACCUCCCUCUUUCUUCUUUAUGUUCUUCACUUUCCAACAAAUUUCUGAUGCUCCAUUCUAUCAAUUUCUUUCUUACUUGGGACUGUGAAGCCAUCGAGUGAGAAGGAAAUUGAUUUAGUCGAGUAUCAAGGCACAACAUCAUCACUAUCUGCUGCGAUUUGUCUUUAUGAGUUUUCGCUUCAGCCUCUCUUUAAAUUCUUUGUUUAUUUAUUUAUUUAUAUGUAUCACUAACUUCGAACCCACAGUUUUGUCAAAAUAUCCAUAUAUUUGUGUUUUACAGGUUUUAUGUGAAUAUGGCAAAGGUGACACUCCACUUUGUUAUUGUUAUUAUCGGAUUAUUGGUUAACCAUACCUGUGAGAAGGCAUCCCCGGUGCCAAAGGACAAAUCAAUGAUUUCUAACUUUGAUCUAUUUAGCAGACAAAUUCAGGACAACGUCUUCAGAGGACGCACGUAUUUGGUGGAUGUGAGGCAGCGAACGUGCGAUCAGCGUACGACUGUGGAUUUAAAAGUUAAAAUGGUGGGAGCAUCGCGAGACCGCUUAGUAUCGGUCGGUUUUUUAGCCAUCAACUAGGCGAUGACCGCGCGAGUCGCCGAAUUUCUCACACCUCAAACAUACUAUAGAUAAUCUCUACAACUUAAACCUACUAGUACGUAUGCUAAAUAUUGGGUUCAUGUCAUAAUCAUUUAAAAUAUUAUGUUUUAAAUAAAUUUCGACAUAUUAAGAUUCUCAUUGUAUAAUGUUGAUGAAGAUAUCAACAUGAAACAAAAUAAAGAGGAGGAUAUUAUAGUUCUGAAAAACACUGCUUCAUCAUCAUUUUAAUUCAUGUUAUUUAAAAAAAAAAUCCCCCUAAGGGUAAAAUCCUAUUGAAGCAUCGAUAAUUAAACUAAUAUGUUUCAUAUGUAUUGAAUCGAUGAAAGCACUUUUUGAUAA